rnacentral:rRNA from 1 species
GUGAGUAGUCAGAGUUUGAUCCUGGCUCAGGAUGAACGCUGGCGGCGUGCUUAACACAUGCAAGUCGAACGGAGCUUGUCUGAUAGAGGAUUCGUCCAAUUGAUUACAAGCUUAGUGGCGGACGGGUGAGUAACGCGUGAGGAACCUGCCUUGGAGUGGGGAAUAACACAGUGAAAAUUGUGCUAAUACCGCAUAAUGCAGUUGAGUCGCAUGGCUCUGACUGCCAAAGAUUUAUCGCUCUAAGAUGGCCUCGCGUCUGAUUAGGUAGUUGGUAGGGUAACGGCCUACCAAGCCGACGAUCAGUAGCCGGACUGAGAGGUUGGCCGGCCACAUUGGGACUGAGACACGGCCCAG